UACAGAGGUCUCAAGCGUUGUUCGGGUUCAUUGGGCGUAAAGGGUGCGUAGGCGGCGCGGUAAGUCGGGUGUGAAAUCUCGGGGCUUAACUCCGAAACUGCAUUCGAUACUGCCGUGCUUGAGGACUGGAGAGGAGACUGGAAUUUACGGUGUAGCGGUGAAAUGCGUAGAUAUCGUAAGGAAGACCAGUGGCGAAGGCGGGUCUCUGGACAGUUCCUGACGCUGAGGCACGAAGGCCAGGGGAGCAAACGGG
rnacentral:rRNA from 1 species